UCACUCCACCUCUUACUGUCUCAUCAGGACCAGAUGCUGCUGUGGUCUCUUCAUCCUCAGUGACCCCAGAGCCAGCUGGAGCAUCUAGAGAAACACCAAAAGACACUGAGGAUGGACCUACAAUCCUCUGGAACAACCUGGAUUGGUCAAGGACAUACUGCUGGUUUUGAACCAGCAACUUUCUGCUCACCAGUUCAGUGGUUUAGCCCACUACAAAAGUAGUGGUGCUCAUGGAGAGCAGCACACAAAUGUGUUCCCUGCUCUUGCUUCUAGCUUGUGUGGUUCAGAGAGCCGUCAUCAUGGUCUUCCUCAUCCUCUUGCUCAACCAUGUCUCCACUGAGAAGAGCGAGAUUGUGAAGCAGAACGGUCUCCGCUGUGUUGAGAUGCAGUAGGAUCGGGGUUCACCAUCUGUAAAUACAUGCUUGUUAGAACAAUACGUUUGAAUGAAGCUUUGUUUCAUCUGUUGUUGACUUGUAUAUGUAUUUAUUG